rnacentral:rRNA from 1 species
UCGGGUUGUAAAGCACUUUUGUCCGGAAAGAAAACUUCGGCCCUAAUACGGCGGGAGGAUGACGGUACCGGAAGAAUAAGCACCGGCUAACUACGUGCCAGCAGCGCGGUAAUCGUAGGGUGCGAGCGUUAAUCGGAAUUACUGGGCGUAAAGCGUGCGCAGGCGGUUCGUUAAGACAGAUGUGAAAUCCCCGGGCUUAACCUGGGAACUGCAUUUGUGACUGGCGAGCUAGAGUAUGGCAGAGGGGGGUAGAAUUCCACGUGUAGCAGUGAAAUGCGUAGAGAUGUGGAGGAAUACCGAUGGCGAAGGCAGCCCCCUGGGCCAAUACUGACGCUCAUGCACGAAAGCGUGGGGAGCAAACAGGAUUAGAUACCCUGGUAGUCCACGCCCUAAACGAUGUCAACUAGUUGUUGGGGAUUCAUUUCCUUAGUAACGUAGCUAACGCGUGAAGUUGACCGCCUGGGGAGUACGGUCGCAAGAUUAAAACUCAAAGGAAUUGACGGGGACCCGCACAAGCGGUGGAUGAAUGUGGAUUAAUUCGAUGCAACGCGAAAAACCUUACCUACCCUUGACAUGGUCGGAACCCUGCUG